GAUCCUGGCUCAGGAUGAACGCUAGCGGCAGGCUUAACACAUGCAAGUCGAGGGGCAGCAUAAUGGAUAGCAAUAUCUAUGGUGGCGACCGGCGCACGGGUGCGUAACGCGUAUGCAACCUACCUUUAACAGGGGGGAUAACACUGAGAAAUUGGUACUAAUACCCCAUAAUAUCAUAGAAGGCAUCUUUUANGGUUGAAAAUUCCGAUGGUUAGAGAUGGGCUGCGUUGUAUUAG
rnacentral:rRNA from 1 species